GGGGGGGGCGGGGGGGGGGGCGGGGGGGGGCAGGGCGGGCGGAGAGACGAGGGGCUUGCUCCGCGGGCGGUGGCGGCGGGCGGGUGAGUGACACGUGGAUAACCUACCUAUAAGACUGGGAUAACUUCGGGAAACCGGAGCUAAUACCGGAUAAUAUAUUGAACCGCAUGGUUCAAUAGUGAAAGACGGUUUUGCUGUCACUUAUAGAUGGAUCCGCGCCGCAUUAGCUAGUUGGUAAGGUAACGGCUUACCAAGGCAACGAUGCGUAGCCGACCUGAGAGGGUGAUCGGCCACACUGGAACUGAGACACGGUCCAGACUCCUACGGGAGGCAGCAGUAGGGAAUCUUCCGCAAUGGGCGAAAGCCUGACGGAGCAACGCCGCGUGAGUGAUGAAGGUCUUCGGAUCGUAAAACUCUGUUAUUAGGGAAGAACAAAUGUGUAAGUAACUAUGCACGUCUUGACGGUACCUAAUCAGAAAGCCACGGCUAACUACGUG
rnacentral:rRNA from 1 species